rnacentral:lncRNA from 1 species
AUCUCUCUCCUCAAACUUACUGUUAUCGCCAACAACCACCACAAACUCAACCUCCUCUACCGCUCAGAUCAAUUCUAACUUCGUCCUUGUCGCCCUCCUCGAUUCCCACUACACGAAGUUCUCCAAAAAUUCAUAAACCAAAUACAGGGACCCUUCUUUUGAACAGAACACAUACAAUUUGAUAAUACAGAUAUAUGGGUUUCUUUUUUAUUGAUUUUUUCAUAUCUGG